UCCGUAGGUGAACCUGCGGAGGGAUCAUUACCGAGUUUACAACUCCCAAACCCAUGUGAACAUACCUACUGUUGCUUCGGCGGGAUUGCCCCGGGCGCCUCGUGUGCCCCGGAUCAGGCGCCCGCCUAGGAAACUUAAUUCUUGUUUUAUUUUGGAAUCUUCUGAGUAGUUUUUACAAAUAAAUAAAAACUUUCAACAACGGAUCUCUUGGUUCUGGCAUCGAUGAAGAACGCAGCGAAAUGCGAUAAGUAAUGUGAAUUGCAGAAUUCAGUGAAUCAUCGAAUCUUUGAACGCACAUUGCGCCCGCCAGUAUUCUGGCGGGCAUGCCUGUCUGAGCGUCGUUUCAACCCUCAUGCCCCUAGGGCGUGGUGUUGGGGAUCGGCCAAAGCCCGCGAGGGACGGCCGGCCCCUAAAUCUAGUGGCGGACCCGUCGUGGCCUCCUCUGCGAAGUAGUGAUAUUCCGCAUCGGAGAGCGACGAGCCCCUGCCGUUAAACCCCCAACUUUCCAAGGUUGACCUCAGAUCAGGUAGGAAUACCCGCUGAACUUAAGCAUAUCAAUAAGCGGAGGA
rnacentral:rRNA from 1 species